rnacentral:rRNA from 1 species
AACUAACGCUGGCGGCGUGCCUAACACAUGCAAGUCGAACGAGAAAGUUGGCUUCGGCCGAUGAGUAAAGUGGCGCACGGGUGAGUAACGCGUGGAUAAUCUGCCCUUUAGUUUGGAAUAACGUACCGAAAGGUGCGCUAAUACCGGAUAAUACUGAAUGACUACUGUCGUUUAGUCAAAGAAGGCUUCUGUUUACAUGCUUUUGCUGAAGGAUGAGUCCGCGUACCAUUAGCUAGUUGGUAGGGUAAUGGGCCUACCAAGGCGACGAUGGUUAGCUGGUCUGAGAGGAUGAUCAGCCACACUGGAACUGAGACACGGUCCAGACUCCUACGGGAGGCAGCAGUGAGGAAUAUUGCGCAAUGGGGCAACCCUGACGCAGCAACGCCGCGUGAGUGAGGAAGGUUUUCGGACCGUAAAGCUCUGUCGAGCGGGAAGAAAUGCAUGGUGGCUAAUAUCCAUCAUGCUUGACGGUACCGCUAAAGGAAGCACC